AUUGAACGCUGGCGGCAGGCCUAACACAUGCAAGCCGAGCGGUAUUGUUUCUUCGGAAAUGAGAGAGCGGCGUACGGGUGCGGAACACGUGUGCAACCUGCCUUUAUCUGGGGGAUAGCCUUUCGAAAGGAAGAUUAAUCUUCCAUAAUAAAUUAAACGGCAUCGUUGGAUUUUAAAAGUUCCGCGGGAAAGAGUGGGGACCGCGCAAGAUUAGUUAGUUGGUGGGGUAACGGCUCACCAAGGCGAUGAUCUUUAGGGGGCCUGAAAGGGUGAUCCCCCACACUGGUACUGAGACACGGACCAGACUCCUACGGGAGGCAGCAGUGAGGAAUAUUGGUCAAUGGGUGCAAGCCUGAACCAGCCAUCCCGCGUGAAGGACGACUGCCCUAUGGGUUGUAAACUUCUUUUGUAUAGGGAUAAACCUACCCUCGUGAGGGUAGCUGAAGGUACUAUACGAAUAAGCACCGGCUAACUCCGUGCCAGCCGCCGCCGUAAUAC
rnacentral:rRNA from 1 species